GAGGGUAUAGCUCAUGUGGUAGAGUGCAUGCUUAGCAUGCACAAAGUCCUGAGUUCAACUCCCAGUACCUCG
rnacentral:tRNA from 1 species